UACGUAGGGGGCAAGCGUUGUCCGGAAUUACUGGGCGUAAAGCGCGGGCAGGUGGCCUGUUAAGUCUUCUGUGAAAACCCGGGGCUCAACUCCGUGGACUGCAGAAGAUACUGGCAGGCUAGAGACCAGUAGAGGCUAGCGGAAUUCCUGGUGUAGCGGUGGAAUGCGUAGAUAUCAGGAAGAACACCUGUGGCGAAGGCGGCUAGCUGGGCUGGAUCUGACACUCAUCCGCGAAAGCGUGGGGAGCAAACAGG
rnacentral:rRNA from 1 species